rnacentral:rRNA from 1 species
UGGGGGAUAUUGCACAAUGGGCGAAAGCCUGAUGCAGCGACGCCGCGUGGGGGAUGAAGGCUUUCGGGUUGUAAACCUCUUUCGCUAUCGAACAAGGCCCGCUUAGGGUGGGUUGUGGGUAGGUGGAGAAGAAGCGCCGGCUAACUACGUGCCAGCAGCCGCGGUAAUACGUAGGGCGCGAGCGUUGUCCGGAAUUAUUGGGCGUAAAGGGCUUUUAGGCAGCUUGUUGCUUCUGCUGUGAAAACGCGGGGCUUAACUUCGCUCGUUCAGUUGGUACGGUCAGGCUUGAGUGUGGUAGGGGUGACUGGAAUUCCAGGUGUAGCGGUGGAAUGCGUAGAUAUCUGGAGGAACACCGAUGGCGAAGGCAGGUCACUGGGCCAUUACUGACGCUGAGGAGCGAAAGCAUGGGUAGCGAACAGG